rnacentral:rRNA from 1 species
AANGGUUGCCAGCGACCCGUCUUGAAACACGGACCAAGGAGUGGACCUACCGCGCGAGUGUUUGGGCGUCAACCCCAUACGCGCAAUGAAAGUGAACGCAGGUGGGAACCUUCGGCGCACCAUCGACCGAUCCUGAUGUCUUCGGAUGGAUUUGAGUAAGAGCACGGCGGGUUCGACCCGAAAGACGGUGAACUAUACGUGAAUAGGGUGAAGCCAGAGGAAACUCUGGUGGAGGCUCGCAGCGGUUCUGACGUGCAAAUCGAUCGUCAAAUUUGCGUAUAGGGGCGAAAGACUAAUCGAACCGUCUAGUAGCUGGUUCCUGUCGAAGUUUCCCUCAGGAUAGCAGCAACGAAUCAGCAGUCUCAUGAGGUAGAGCAACGAUUAGAGGCAUGGGGGUUGAAACAACCUUCACCUAUUCUCGAACUCCGAAUAUGUGAGAAGUCCUUGUUACUUGAUNGAA